CUUCUGGGCUUUCUUCAUUCUUCUUAGUGGUUCCUUGGUUGCUUCAUAUGAUGGGCCUUUAUAUGAUUUUACUGCUUACACAGAGUGUAAAGCACAGCCAGAGGAGCCACUGUACCAAG